AGCUGACGGCUGGAUGACCCCUCUGAACGGUCCCGGCUGUGGAUGCCCAUAGAGAAACGGGGAUUUCAGCUUUGGGGCUCUGAUUCUUCCCAGAUGAGAGGACGCAUCGGGGCUGCCGCUCGCUCUACGAGGCCAGCAUGGGGGCUCUGGAUGGGUCACUUGUUCUUGCCCAAGGGGUGAAUGAUGACACAGACUCCAUGCCCCACCCCCUCAGCUGCCCAGCCAGUCUGACCAAGACGGAGUGGCCCUUCCACUUCUAUUCUCCGCGGGUCUCCGAGGAUGUGGGAUGCGGGAGAGGGAGGAGGGGCAGGAGGAAGACCAGGAACGGAGGACGGGAGCUCUGUGCGAGAGACACGGGUUCAGAAACCCAGCAGCACAGCAGCAAGCGCCCUCCCGCCCCCCGACCAGUGACUCCCACGGCAGGUGCAAUCCACAAAACCAGAGGCCACCCAAGGUGUACCCGCCUCUCCCAGGAGCCUUUCUGCCAGAGACCCCAAGCCGGGUGCCCUCCACACUGGGCCGCAAGGGUAGGUGGGGCCGCUGUGGCACUGGUACCCAGUGGGUGCCUGUCAAACAGGUGUCAACCGACUAAUUGCAGCCCAGCUGGUCCCAGAGACCAGCCAGACACCCUUCCUACUGAGGAUGAGGUCCUACACUGCGAGGGCCCCCACUGUCCGGCUGUCCCGGACACAGCCCCACUAAGCAUGCGGGAGGCACCCCACUUGGCACCCCGCAGCCCGGCCCAUACCAGCCAGCAGCCUGGCCCUGGCUGGCUGCCCUCCAGCAAGCCAUGACUGUCGGCCCGGCUUGGAGGACGUCUGGUCACCUUGCAUUUGCAGUCUGAGGAAGCUGUGUCAUUCCGCUACAUCCAGAGGUGACUCAGGCAGCUGCAGCAGCAGAGAGCAGACUGCAGAACACACCACACCCCCUCCAGUCCCCGCCCUGGCUCCCACCACACCAUCCUCCUGUCCUCGGCCUCCAGCUCCCCAUCAGCAUCCUGUUCUCCCCCGGCCGCCCUGGGGCUUCAAUCCGCUCCCAGCCUCUAAGUCCAGUCAGGGGCAUUCCGGGGGGCCCAGAUGCCCCCCAGCCCCCAACCGCAUCAUUCACCGGAGUUGCCCCUGCCCCUCUCUCUUUUCCUCAUCCACGCGCCAACCAGGCUUGAUCCCAGCCCUCAAGCAUCACCCGCCUGAACCCACAGCACCUGCCCAGGCUCCGGCCUCCAGCGUCUCCUGUCUGGACCACAGCUUUGCCAAAUGGGAUGCCCUCACCCUGAUCCUGGUGCCCCCCACACAGCCCCACAGGCAGUCAAAAGUCUUGGGGGUUCCUCCCAAACCCCGACUCCCCCACCCCAAUGCCGUUUCAGGUUUCUGAUCACCAUCUGCAGAGAGCACGUGGUUCCCUGCCCUGCUUCUUCCAGAAACACUCCCCACUGCUCUCCUCCUCGCGUAGGCAAGCACCCUCUACCAAGGCCUGGUUCUAGAUCCUUCUGGGGACAGGGGGCCUCCCCAAGGCAUGGUGAGCUCCUUGCAAGCAGGGAGAAGGUCUUCCCUACACCCCACACUAGCCCCCGCUGUACGAGAUGAGCCGGCCCCGCAUGGGAGGGCAGGGAGAGGGCAGUCUCCACCCCAAUACCUUCCCCAGGACACCCGACGCACAGUGCGGAGAAGCAGGAAGGCUCUACACCAGACCCCACCGGCCUGUGGGACAGGCCAGCAGACCUCAUGGCCUGGGCUUCCUCAUCUACAGCAGCUGGUCGGGGGGUGGGGCAUGUGGCCACUCAAGUUCGCUUGUACCUGCUCUAAAACUCUAUGAUUUUAAGACGACACUCCCAGUUUCCUGAAACUGUAGGAAAGCGGAAACAUGACGAGUCUGUGACUUAUAAAAAGCAAAAAUAAAUAGCGGGGAAAGGCAUCUUCCAUUCGCGGAGAGCAGGGAGGGUGGGGACGGAGCGGUGAGUCACUGUUUACUGUUGAAAGGCGGCCACACGGAGCCCUCUCUCAGCUGGCCAGAUUUCCAUUUCCCGUGUGGACUGGACCCGAAACCCAGAAAGUCCACUCCAGAAACCUUUAGACUCAGAAACAGCUGGGACAAGAACAGGCACAACUUCUUCUCCGUCUGGGUGGCAAACAGCUUUGCCAGAGACUGUAAACAAACGCAGCCAUCGCUGAGCCCCGUGGGUGAAAGCACACGCCUUGUAGACAGCGAAGUGGCCCGGAAGACGGUCUCCCUUAACAGCAGCCUCCCGGGUGCACACAAAGGCUGGCGCCCCGACAACCCUGACCCUCGGUAAACGCUGGCUCCCGGGUUUACCAGCACCUGGGGAGUCGACGCUGCGGGCAACCAGCCCCUCAAAGCCCUGGCUCGGUUCAAGGAUAAAAGGCAGGAGAAGCCUGGUUUUUCUGCUUUAAUAAAUGUCUUAUUUUGGAAU